UAUUACAACUAUAAAGUGAUA
rnacentral:piRNA from 1 species